rnacentral:rRNA from 1 species
UACGGUGGGAGAUAGCGUUGUGAGGAAUUACUGGGCGUAAAGCGCACGUAGGCGGCCGUUCAAGUCAGAGGUGAAAGCCCGGGGCUCAACCUCGGAAUAGCCUUUGAAACUAGAUGGCUUGAAUCUUGGAGAGGUCAGUGGAAUUCCGAGUGUAGAGGUGAAAUUCGUAGAUAUUCGGAAGAACACCAGUGGCGAAGGCGACUGACUGGACAAGUAUUGACGCUGAGGUGCGAAAGCGUGGGGAGCCUACAGG